rnacentral:rRNA from 2 species
AUUGAACGCUAGCGGGAUGCCUUACACAUGCAAGUCGAACGGCAGCACGGACUUCGGUCUGGUGGCGAGUGGCGAACGGGUGAGUAAUGUAUCGGAACGUGCCUAGUAGCGGGGGAUAACUACGCGAAAGCGUAGCUAAUACCGCAUACGCCCUACGGGGGAAAGCAGGGGAUCGCAAGACCUUGCACUAUUAGAGCGGCCGAUAUCGGAUUAGCUAGUUGGUGGGGUAACGGCUCACCAAGGCGACGAUCCGUAGCUGGUUUGAGAGGACGACCAGCCACACUGGGACUGAGACACGGCCCAGACUCCUACGGGAGGCAGCAGUGGGGAAUUUUGGACAAUGGGGGAAACCCUGAUCCAGCCAUCCCGCGUGUGCGAUGAAGGCCUUCGGGUUGUAAAGCACUUUUGGCAGGAAAGAAACGUCAUGGGCUAAUACCCCGUGAAACUGACGGUACCUGCA